rnacentral:rRNA from 1 species
GAAGGCCCAGACAGCCAGGAUGUUGGCUUAGAAGCAGCCAUCAUUUAAAGAAAGCGUAAUAGCUCACUGGUCGAGUCGGCCUGCGCGGAAGAUGUAACGGGGCUAAACCAUGCACCGAAGCUGCGGCAGCGACACUGUGUGUUGUUGGGUAGGGGAGCGUUCUGUAAGCCUGUGAAGGUGUGUCGUGAGGCAUGCUGGAGGUAUCAGAAGUGCGAAUGCUGACAUAAGUAACGAUAAAGCGGGUGAAAAGCCCGCUCGCCGGAAGACCAAGGGUUCCUGUCCAACGUUAAUCGGGGCAGGGUGAGUCGACCCCUAAGGCGAGGCCGAAAGGCGUAGUCGAUGGGAAACGGGUUAAUAUUCCCGUACUUGGUGUUACUGCGAAGGGGGGACGGAGAAGGCUAUGUUGGCCGGGCGACGGUUGUCCCGGUUUAAGCGUGUAGGUGUGUGUUCCAGGUAAAUCCGGUU